GAAGGAGUCUAUCAGCUGACACCGUAAGUCUCCAGGAUACAGUGGCUGAUGGGAAAAAGCAGGCGUGGAACACUGGUAUCAAAUCAGGUUUGAUUUUGAUGACUCAGUGAUGGAUGAAGGGAGGCGAUAAGGAAGACUGAAAAAUGGUGACAGCAGAAAUAAUGGGGAUGCUAAAGAAACAUGAAGUCCUGUGAGAAGAGAGGAAGAUGACGGGGAGACCUGAUGACGAAAAGGUUAAGGAAAACUAGACAGGACAGUAAGAAGAGAACCAGAAAGGAAGCCAAGGAGCGCGCCCACCCCGCCCUCGGCCCGGCUUCCAUCAGACCCUGAACCGGAAGAUGGCAGGCGGUGAGAUGCAAAAAUAAGGGCACAGCUCUCCUCAUGGAAAGGCUUCCUCACGCCGGCUCCUUCAAAGUGUGGACCAGCACCUUUGGCAUCACCUGGGAGCUUGUUGGAAACGCUGGUUCUGACCCACUUGAGCGGGGAGAGGGGACCGACCUGUA